GUGCCAGCCGCCGCGGUAAGACGAGGGGUCCUAGCGUUGUUCGGAAUCACUGGGCGUAAAGCGCAUGUAGGCGGCUUUUCAAGUCAGGUGUGAAAGCCCACGGCUUAACCGUGGAAGUGCAUUUGAAACUGUAAAGCUUGAGUAUGGGAGAGGAUGGUAGAAUUCCUGGUGUAGUGGUGAAAUACGUAGGUAUCAGGAGGAAUACCGGUGGCGAAGGCGGCCAUCUGGCCUAAUACUGACGCUGAGAUGCGAAAGUGCGGGGAUCAAACAGGAUUAGAAACCCGCGUAGUCC
rnacentral:rRNA from 1 species